rnacentral:rRNA from 1 species
GUGGGGAAUAUUGGACAAUGGGCGCAAGCCUGAUCCAGCCAUGCCGCGUGAGUGAUGAAGGCCCUAGGGUUGUAAAGCUCUUUCACCGGAGAAGAUAAUGACGGUAUCCGGAGAAGAAGCCCCGGCUAACUUCGUGCCAGCAGCCGCGGUAAUACGAAGGGGGCUAGCGUUGUUCGGAAUUACUGGGCGUAAAGCGCACGUAGGCGGACAUUUAAGUCAGGGGUGAAAUCCCGGGGCUCAACCCCGGAACUGCCUUUGAUACUGGGUGUCUGGAGUAUGGAAGAGGUAAGUGGAAUUCCGAGUGUAGAGGUGAAAUUCGUAGAUAUUCGGAGGAACACCAGUGGCGAAGGCGGCUUACUGGUCCAUUACUGACGCUGAGGUGCGAAAGCGUGGGGAGCAAACAGGAUUAGAUACCCUUGUAGUCC